rnacentral:rRNA from 1 species
AGAGUUUGAUCCUGGCUCAGGAUGAACGCUGGCGGUCUGCUUAACACAUGCAAGUCGAACGGAGUGCUUCGGCACUUAGUGGCGGACGGGUGAGUAACGCGUGAGAAUCUGCCCUCAGGACGGGGACAACGACUGGAAACGGUCGCUAAUACCCGAUGUGCCGAGAGGUGAAAGAAAUUCGCCUGAGGAUGAGCUCGCGUCGGAUUAGCUAGUUGGGGAGGUAACGGCUCACCAAGGCGACGAUCCGUAGCUGGUCUGAGAGGAUGAUCAGCCACACUGGGACUGAGACACGGCCCAGACUCCUACGGGAGGCAGCAGUGGGGAAUUUUCCGCAAUGGGCGAAAGCCUGACGGAGCAAGACCGCGUGGGGGAGGAAGGUCUGUGGAUUGUAAACCCCUUUUGUCAGGGAAGAAGAACUGACGGUACCUGACGAAUCAGCAUCGGCUAACUCCGUGCCAGCAGCCGCGGUAAUUC